rnacentral:rRNA from 1 species
GCCUUAACAUGCAGUCGAACGCUUCUUUCCUCCCGAGGGGCUUGCACUCAAUUGGAAAGAGGAGGAAGGACGGGUGAGUAACACGUGGGUAACCUACCCAUCAGAGGGGGGAUAACACUUGGAAACAGGUGCUAAUACCGCAUAACAGUUUAUGCCGCAUGGCAUAAGAGUGAAAGGCGCUUUCGGGUGUCGCUGAUGGAUGGACCCGCGGCUGCAUUAGCUAGUUGGUGAGGUAACGGCUCACCAAGGCCACGAUGCAUAGCCGACCUGAGAGGGUGAUCGGCCACACUGGGACUGAGACACGGCCCAGACUCCUACGGGAGGCAGCAGUAGGGAAUCUUCGGCAAUGGACGAAAGUCUGACCGAGCAACGCCGCGUGAGUGAAGAAGGUUUUCGGAUCGUAAAACUCUGUUGUUAGAGAAGAACAAGGACGUUAGUAACUGAACGUCCCCUGACGGUAUCUAACCAGAAAGCCACGGCUAACUACGUGCCAGCAGCCGCGGUAAUACGUAGGUGGCAAGCGUUGUCCGGAUUUAUUGGGCGUAAAGCGAGCGCAGGCGGUUUCUUAAGUCUGAUGUGAAAGCCCCCGGCUCAACCGGGGAGGGUCAUUGGAAACUGGGAGACUUGAGUGCAGAAGAGGAGAGUGGGAAUUCCAUGUGUAGCGGUGGAAAUGCGUAGAUAUA